rnacentral:rRNA from 1 species
UAGGGAAUAUUAGAAAUGGACGAAAGUCUGAUCUAGCAACACCGCGUGUGCGAAGAAGGCCUUCGGGUCGUAAAGCACUUUUUGGAAGGAAUAGGAAGGAAUGUACUUCCAGAAUAAGUCUCGGCUAACUACGUG